rnacentral:RNase_P_RNA from 1 species
ACGCGAUCGCGGAAAAAGCAUGACGCUUUUUCUGAGGAAAGUCCGAGCUCCAACGGGAAAGAAUAACGGAUAACGUCCGCCGAGGGCAACCUCCGGGAAAGUGCAACAGAAAAUAACGUCGGGGCAACCCGUCACGGUGAAAAGGUGAGGCAAGAGCUCACCGGGAAGACGGCAACGUCUUCUGACAGUGUAAACCCUAUUCGGAGCAAUUCCGGUAUAAGACGGAAAAGCAUAUGCUUUUCAGCGCCUCCCGUCGCGUCUUGAAGGAAGCUGGAGAUACGGAGCAAUCCGUGUUCGAGAUAGAUGAUACGCGUAAAUACAAAACUCGGCUUAUUAUCCUCC